rnacentral:rRNA from 1 species
GUCGUAACAAGGUUUCCGUAGGUGAACCUGCGGAAGGAUCAUUAUUGAAUGAACUUGGUGUGGUUGUUGCUGGCCCUUUCGGGGGCAUGUGCACACCCAUCAUCCUCAUCUCUCCACCUGUGCACCUCUUGUAGACUUGGAUUGACUUUCCGAGGCAACUCGGUCGGGAGGACUUGCUGGCAUUAGCUGGCUUUCCUUGCAUUUCCAAGUCUAUGUUUUUCAUAUACCCCAUUGAAUGUAACAGAAUGUAACAUAUUGGGCCUUUGUGCCUAUAAAAACUUAUACAACUUUCAGCAACGGAUCUCUUGGCUCUCGCAUCGAUGAAGAACGCAGCGAAAUGCGAUAAGUAAUGUGAAUUGCAGAAUUCAGUGAAUCAUCGAAUCUUUGAACGCACCUUGCGCUCCUUGGUAUUCCGAGGAGCAUGCCUGUUUGAGUGUCAUUAAAUUCUCAACUAUUAUCAGCUUUUGCUGAUAAUGGCUUGGAUAUGGGGGUUUAUUUUGCUGGCUUCUUCACAGAUUGUCAGCUCCCCUUAAAUGCAUUAGCCGGUGCCCCGCGUGGACUGUCUAUUGGUGUGAUAAUUAUCUACGCCGUGGACAUCUACAAUCAUAUGGGUUUGCACUGCUUCCAACCGUCUGUUUAUUCAGACAAUACAUGACAAUUUGACCUCAAAUCAGGUAGGACUACCCGCUGAACUUAAGCAUAUCAAUAAGCG